GACGAACGCUGGCGGCGUGCUUAACACAUGCAAGUCGAACGGAAAGGCCCUUCGGGGUACUCGAGUGGCGAACGGGUGAGUAACACGUGGGUGAUCUGCCCUGCACUUUGGGAUAAGCCUGGGAAACUGGGUCUAAUACCGGAUAGGACUACGCGAUGCAUGUCGUGUGGUGGAAAGCUUUUGCGGUGUGGGAUGGGCCCGCGGCCUAUCAGCUUGUUGGUGAGGUUACGGCUCACCAAGGCGACGACGGGUAGCCGGCCUGAGAGGGUGACCGGCCACACUUGGACUGAGAUACGGCCCAGACUCCUACGGGAGGCAGUAGUGGGGAAUAUUGCACAAUGGGCGCAAGCCUGAUGCAGCGACGCCGCGUGAGGGAUGACGGCCUUCGGGUUGUAAACCUCUUUCAGCAGGGACGAAGCGCAAGUGACGGUACCUGUAGAAGAAGGACCGGCCAACUACGUGCCAGCCGCCGCCGUAAUAC
rnacentral:rRNA from 1 species